rnacentral:rRNA from 1 species
GACGAACGCUGGCGGCGUGCUUAACACAUGCAAGUCGAACGGAAAGGCCCUGCUUGCAGGGUGCUCGAGUGGCGAACGGGUGAGUAACACGUGGGUGAUCUGCCCCUUACUUUGGGAUAAGCCUGGGAAACUGGGUCUAAUACUGGAUAGGACCAUGCUGUAGGUGGGGUGGUGGAAAGAUUAGUUUCGGUAAGGGAUGAGCUCUCGGCCUAUCAGCUUGUUGGUGGGGUAAUGGCCUACCAAGGCGUCGACGGGUAGCCGGCCUGAGAGGGUGGACGGCCACAUUGGGACUGAGAUACGGCCCAGAAUCCUACGGGAGGCAGCAGUGGGGGAGAGUGCAAAAUGGGCGCAAGCCUGAUGCAGCGACGCCGCGUGGGGGAUGACGGCCCUCGGGUUGUAAACUCCUUUCAGCCAUGACGAAGCCCUUGUGGUGACGGUAGUGGUAGAAGAAGCACCGGCUAACUACGUG